GGCGGCGAUCUUGGUUUGUUGGCAGAGUUACCGGACACAUUUUUUAAACUAGAUACCCCAAUGAUGAUUAUGGCUAAGUUUGGUAAAAUUUGGCCCAGUAGUUUCAGAGGAGAAGAUUUUUCUAAAAGAUUACUAAGAUUUACGAAAAAUGGUUAAAAAUUGACUAUAAAGGGCAAUAACUCCUAAAGUGGUCAGCUGACC
rnacentral:lncRNA from 1 species